AUCUAGUUGACGAGUUUCAAAUAGGAUGAAAUGCGCAUCAAACUGGAU
rnacentral:hammerhead_ribozyme from 1 species